UAUUUCGGCAAUGUUUCGAAA
ensembl:piRNA 21ur-2265 ncRNA